rnacentral:rRNA from 1 species
GACGAACGCUGGCGGCGUGCUUAACACAUGCUAGGCGAACGGAAAGGCCCGGCGUUUGUGGGGUGCUCGAGUGCGAACGGGUGAGUAACACGUGAGUAACCUGCCCUUGACUUUGGGAUAACUUCAGGAAACUGGGGCUAAUACCGGAUAGGAGCUCCUGCUGCAUGGUGGGUGUUGGAAAGUUUCGGCGGUUGGGGAUGGACUCGCGGCUGAUCAGCUUGUUGGUGGGGUAGUGGCUUACCAAGGCUGUGACGGGUAGCCGGCCUGAGAGGGUGACCGGCCACAGUGGGACUGAGAUACGGCCCAGACCCCUACGGGACGCAGCAGUGGGGAAUAUUGCACAACGGGCGGAAGCCUGAUGCAGCACCGCCGCGUGCGGGAUGACGGCCUUCGGGUUGUAAACCGCUUUCGCCUGUGACGAAGCGUGAGUGACGGUAAUGGGUAAAGAAGCACCGGCUAACUACGUG